rnacentral:piRNA from 1 species
CAGAUUCAAGAACAAGGGGAAAGACAGU